UCGAGAAUAUUUAGCAAUGGACGAAAGUCUGACUAUGCGACGCCGCGUGCAGGAUGAAGGUCUUCGGAUUGUAAACUGCUUUUGUUAGGGGAGAAACCUGUGAUGUUAACAGCAUUACAGCUGACGGUACCUGACGAAUAAGCCACGGCAAACCCUGUGCCAGCAGCCGCGGUAAUACAGGGGUGGCAAGCGUUACUCGGAAUUAUUGGGUGUAAAGGGCAGGUAGGUGGCUUUGUGUGUGAGAGGUGAAAUCCUGCGGUUCAAUCGCAGAACUGCCUUUCAAACUGCAGAGCUUGAGAGUGUUAGGGGAGAAUGGAAUUCCCGGUGUAAGGGUGAAAUCUGUAGAUAUCGGGAAGAACACCAACAGCGAAGGCAAUUCUCUGGGACACUUCUGACGCUGAACUGCGAAAGCUAGGGGAGCAAACAGA
rnacentral:rRNA from 1 species